GGGUUGUGAGGUUAAGCGACUAAGCGUACACGGUGGAUGCCCUGGCAGUCAGAGGCGAUGAAGGGCGUGCUAAUCUGCGAUAAGCGCCGGUAAGGUGAUAUGAACCGUUAUAACCGGCGAUACCCGAAUGGGGAAACCCAGUGUGAUUCGUCACACUAUCAUUAACUGAAUCCAUAGGUUAAUGAGGCGAACCGGGGGAACUGAAACAUCUAAGUACCCCGAGGAAAAGAAAUCAACCGAGAUUCCCCCAGUAGCGGCGAGCGAACGGGGAGGAGCCCAGAGCCUGAAUCAGCAUGUGUGUUAGUGGAAGCGUCUGGAAAGGCGCGCGAUACAGGGUGACAGCCCCGUACACAAAAGCGCAUGUGCUGUGAGCUCGAUGAGUAGGGCGGGACACGUGGUAUCCUGUCUGAAUAUGGGGGGACCAUCCUCCAAGGCUAAAUACUCCUGACUGACCGAUAGUGAACCAGUACCGUGAGGGAAAGGCGAAAAGAACCCCGGCGAGGGGAGUGAAAAAGAACCUGAAACCGUGUACGUACAAGCAGUGGGAGCCCCACCACUAAGCCAGUGGUGAACUCCACAUCCGCAUCCUUUGCUGAGGAUACGGUUAACGGAGCGAAAGCGACGUUCAACCGCAAAACAAGCAGAGGGGGCUUAGUGGUGGGGUGACUGCGUACCUUUUGUAUAAUGGGUCAGCGACUUAUAUUCUGUAGCAAGGUUAACCGAAUAGGGGAGCCGGAGGGAAACCGAGUCUUAAUUGGGCGUUAAGUUGCAGGGUAUAGACCCGAAACCCGGUGAUCUAGCCAUGGGCAGGUUGAAGGUUGGGUAACACUAACUGGAGGACCGAACCGACUAAUGUUGAAAAAUUAGCGGAUGACCUGUGGCUGGGGGUGAAAGGCCAAUCAAACCGGGAGAUAGCUGGUUCUCCCCGAAAGCUAUUUAGGUAGCGCCUCGUGAAUUCAUCUCCGGGGGUAGAGCACUGUUUCGGCUAGGGGGCCAUCCCGGCUUACCAACCCGAUGCAAACUGCGAAUACCGGAGAAUGUUAUCACGGGAGACACACGGCGGGUGCUAACGUCCGUCGUGAAGAGGGAAACAACCCAGACCGCCAGCUAAGGUCCCAAAGUCAUGGUUAAGUGGGAAACGAUGUGGGAAGGCCCAGACAGCCAGGAUGUUGGCUUAGAAGCAGCCAUCAUUUAAAGAAAGCGUAAUAGCUCACUGGUCGAGUCGGCCUGCGCGGAAGAUGUAACGGGGCUAAACCAUGCACCGAAGCUGCGGCAGCGAACGUAUCACCCAAGACAACUUUACGGAGUUGACGAUUGACGGAGCGAAGCGACGUCAAAGCGUUCAUUAAAGUCGAGUUGGCUUAGGGAUACGUUCGUUGGGUAGGGGAGCGUUCUGUAAGCCUGUGAAGGUGUGUCGUGAGGCAUGCUGGAGGUAUCAGAAGUGCGAAUGCUGACAUAAGUAACGAUAAAGCGGGUGAAAAGCCCGCUCGCCGGAAGACCAAGGGUUCCUGUCCAACGUUAAUCGGGGCAGGGUGAGUCGACCCCUAAGGCGAGGCCGAAAGGCGUAGUCGAUGGGAAACGGGUUAAUAUUCCCGUACUUGGUGUUACUGCGAAGGGGGGACGGAGAAGGCUAUGUUGGCCGGGCGACGGUUGUCCCGGUUUAAGCGUGUAGGUGUGUGUUCCAGGUAAAUCCGGUUCACUUUAACACUGAGGCGUGACGACGAGGCACUACGGUGCUGAAGCAACAAAUGCCCUGCUUCCAGGAAAAGCCUCUAAGCAUCAGGUAACACGAAAUCGUACCCCAAACCGACACAGGUGGUCAGGUAGAGAAUACCAAGGCGCUUGAGAGAACUCGGGUGAAGGAACUAGGCAAAAUGGUGCCGUAACUUCGGGAGAAGGCACGCUGACACGUAGGUGAAGUGAUUUACUCAUGGAGCUGAAGUCAGUCGAAGAUACCAGCUGGCUGCAACUGUUUAUUAAAAACACAGCACUGUGCAAACACGAAAGUGGACGUAUACGGUGUGACGCCUGCCCGGUGCCGGAAGGUUAAUUGAUGGGGUCAGCGUAAGCGAAGCUCCUGAUCGAAGCCCCGGUAAACGGCGGCCGUAACUAUAACGGUCCUAAGGUAGCGAAAUUCCUUGUCGGGUAAGUUCCGACCUGCACGAAUGGCGUAAUGAUGGCCAGGCUGUCUCCACCCGAGACUCAGUGAAAUUGAACUCGCUGUGAAGAUGCAGUGUACCCGCGGCAAGACGGAAAGACCCCGUGAACCUUUACUAUAGCUUGACACUGAACAUUGAGCCUUGAUGUGUAGGAUAGGUGGGAGGCUUUGAAGUGUGGACGCCAGUCUGCAUGGAGCCGACCUUGAAAUACCACCCUUUAAUGUUUGAUGUUCUAACGUGGACCCGUUACCCGGGUUGCGGACAGUGUCUGGUGGGUAGUUUGACUGGGGCGGUCUCCUCCUAAAGAGUAACGGAGGAGCACGAAGGUUGGCUAAUCCUGGUCGGACAUCAGGAGGUUAGUGCAAUGGCAUAAGCCAGCUUGACUGCGAGCGUGACGGCGCGAGCAGGUGCGAAAGCAGGUCAUAGUGAUCCGGUGGUUCUGAAUGGAAGGGCCAUCGCUCAACGGAUAAAAGGUACUCCGGGGAUAACAGGCUGAUACCGCCCAAGAGUUCAUAUCGACGGCGGUGUUUGGCACCUCGAUGUCGGCUCAUCACAUCCUGGGGCUGAAGUAGGUCCCAAGGGUAUGGCUGUUCGCCAUUUAAAGUGGUACGCGAGCUGGGUUUAGAACGUCGUGAGACAGUUCGGUCCCUAUCUGCCGUGGGCGCUGGAGAACUGAGGGGGGCUGCUCCUAGUACGAGAGGACCGGAGUGGACGCAUCACUGGUGUUCGGGUUGUCAUGCCAAUGGCACUGCCCGGUAGCUAAAUGCGGAAGAGAUAAGUGCUGAAAGCAUCUAAGCACGAAACUUGCCCCGAGAUGAGUUCUCCCUGAGACUUAGAGUCUCCUGAAGGAACGUUGAAGACGACGACGUUGAUAGGCCGGGUGUGUAAGCGCAGCGAUGCGUUGAGCUAACCGGUACUAAUGAACCGUGAGGCUUAACCUUACAACGCCGAAG
rnacentral:rRNA from 1 species